GACGAACGCUGGCGGCGUGCUUAACACAUGCAAGUCGAACGAAGUGGCGAACGGGUGAGUAAUACGUGAGUAACCUGCCCUCCUUUUUGGGAUAAGCCUUGGAAACGGGGUCUAAUACCGAAUAAAGGGGGAUGGGCUCGCGGCCUAUCAGCUUGUUGGUGGGGUGAUGGCCUACCAAGGCGGUGACGGGUAGCCGGCCUGCGAGGGUGACAGGCGAAAUUGGGAAUGGUCUACGGCCCAGACUGAGACGGCAGGGAGCAGGUGUGGAUAAUGCACAAUGGGCGAAAGCCGGAUGCAGCGACGUCGGGUGGGGGAUGAAGGCUUUUGGGUUGUAAACAUCUGUCGCUAUCGAACGGGUAGGCGGAGAAGAAGCGCCGGCUAACUACGUGCCAGCAGCCGCGGUAAUAC
rnacentral:rRNA from 1 species